rnacentral:rRNA from 1 species
CAGCCGCCGCGGUAAUACGUAGGGUGCGAGCGUUAAUCGGAAUUACUGGGCGUAAAGCGUGCGCAGGCGGUUAUGUAAGACAGUUGUGAAAUCCCCGGGCUCAACCUGGGAACUGCAUCUGUGACUGCAUAGCUAGAGUACGGUAGAGGGGGAUGGAAUUCCGCGUGUAGCAGUGAAAUGCGUAGAUAUGCGGAGGAACACCGAUGGCGAAGGCAAUCCCCUGGACCUGUACUGACGCUCAUGCACGAAAGCGUGGGGAGCAAACAGGAUUAGAGACCCGCGUAGUCCCUGUCUCUUAUAC